CCUACGGGGUGCUGCAGUAGGGAAUUUUGCGCAAUGGGCGAAAGCCUGACGCAGCAACACCGCGUGAAUGUUAAGCCCUUCGGGGUGUAAAGUUCUGUCAAUAGGGACGAAUUUUGACUGUACCUAUAAAGGAAGCACCGGCUAACUCCGUGCCAGCAGCCGCGGUAAUACGGAGGAUGCGAGCGUUAUCCGGAUUUAUUGGGUUUAAAGGGUGCGCAGGCGGAGGUGAAAGUCAGCGGUCAAAUUGCGGGGCUCAACCCCGUACUGCCGUUGAAACUGCAUCCCUUGAGUGCGCGAGAAGUAUGCGGAAUGCGUGGUGUAGCGGUGAAAUGCAUAGAUAUCACGCAGAACUCCGAUUGCGAAGGCAGCAUACCGGCGCGCAACUGACGCUCAUGCACGAAAGCGUGGGUAUCGAACAGGAUUAGAUACCCUUGUAGUC
rnacentral:rRNA from 1 species